GAUGAACGCUGGCGGCGUGCCUAAUACAUGCAAGUCGAGCGAACAGACGAGGAGCUUGCUCCUCUGACGUUAGCGGCGGACGGGUGAGUAACACGUGGAUAACCUACCUAUAAGACUGGGAUAACUUCGGGAAGCCGGAGCUAAUACCGGAUAAUAUAUUGAACCGCAUGGUUCAAUAGUGAAAGACGGUUUUGCUGUCACUUAUAGAUGGAUCCGCGCCGCAUUAGCUAGUUGGUAAGGUAACGGCUUACCAAGGCAACGAUGCGUAGCCGACCUGAGAGGGUGAGCGGCCACACUGGAACUGAGACACGGUCCAGACUCCUACGGGAGGCAGCAGUAGGGAAUCUUCCGCAAUGGGCGAAAGCCUGACGGAGCAACGCCGCGUGAGUGAUGAAGGUCUUCGGAUCGUAAAACUCUGUUAUUAGGGAAGAACAAAUGUGUAAGUAACUAUGCACGUCUUGACGGUACCUAAUCAGAAAGCCACGGCUAACUACGUG
rnacentral:rRNA from 1 species